rnacentral:lncRNA from 1 species
UGUGCGACCCCGAAGCCCCUUCUGCCUUAGGCUGAACUGCUUUGGAGAACUUCUGCUCCUCACCCAUACAUUUCUCCUGCACAGCUGCCAUCUAUACCAGAUCCUCCAAACUGGUGUAGGUAACCACACUGCACCUACCACGAAGCUCUACUUGCAUCCCAUCUAAGAACCUCCUGAUCAGAUCCUCCUCAUCUAUGUUGUUACCCACAAAUCUACGGAGUUGGUUAAACUCCCUCUCAUACUCCCUAACAGACUUUGCAUUCUGCCUCAAAUGCUCGAAAUCAUUCUUCUUCUCAUGCAAAGCUUCCCU